rnacentral:rRNA from 1 species
AUUGAACGCUGGCGGCAGGCCUAACACAUGCAAGUCGAGCGGAUGAAGGGAGCUUGCUCCUGGAUUCAGCGGCGGACGGGUGAGUAAUGCCUAGGAAUCUGCCUGGUAGUGGGGGAUAACGUCCGGAAACGGGCGCUAAUACCGCAUACGUCCUGAGGGAGAAAGUGGGGGAUCUUCGGACCUCACGCUAUCAGAUGAGCCUAGGUCGGAUUAGCUAGUUGGUGGGGUAAAGGCCUACCAAGGCGACGAUCCGUAACUGGUCUGAGAGGAUGAUCAGUCACACUGGAACUGAGACACGAUCCAGACUCCUACGGGAGGCAGCAGUGGGGAAUAUUGGACAAUGGGCGAAAGCCUGAGCCAGCCAUGCGGCGUGUGUGAAGAAGGUCUUCGGAUUGUAAAGCACUUUAAGUUGGGAGGAAGGGCAGUAAGUUAAUACCUUGCUGUUUUGACGUUACCAACAGAAUAAGCACCGGCUAACUUCGUA